rnacentral:lncRNA from 1 species
UGUGUGUGUGUGUGUGUGUGAGUGUGUGUGUCUGUGUGUGUGUGUGUGUGUGUGUGUGUGUGUGUGUGUGCAUGUCUAACUGUGUGUGUGUGUGUGUGUUACAGACAGCUGUCUUGCUGAACGAGCUCCUAAAGGUUGCAUCAGUGCAGGAGUAAGUGUGUUUGUUGGUCUCUGUGAGUGUGUUAGUGUUGUGUGAGAUGUGUCAGCUGUGUGUUUGUGUCUGCAGGAUGUUGUGCACGCUCCUCCUCGUCCACUGCGUGUUAAACCAGGAUGUAAAGGACCCGCCAUCAACAGAGACCUCAAACCCAGGAGACUGCCCAAGAGCUCCUCAGAUGGACGAUUGGAGUUGAUGGGAUCUGCUGACAGGGCUGUCACAGUCCCACAGAGGCCGGUGAGAUCAUUACCCAGAGAUCACCUGCGUUUACCGCCUCUACCAGUGCAGACCAUCCCUAACUAUCCAAACCAGUUUGAUGAGUCUCCUCCAUCCAGACCAGCACCAGCACCAGCGUCACCGCAAACCAGAUCACACAACAGCAGACCCGCAUGGACACAGUGAGUCUCACACACACACCUGCAGAAACUAGUUCAAGUC